UGGGGAAUUUUGGACAAUGGGCGCAAGCCUGAUCCAGCCAUGCCGCGUGCGGGAAGAAGGCCUUCGGGUUGUAAACCGCUUUUGUCAGGGAAGAAAUCUUCUGAGUUAAUACCUCGGGAGGAUGACGGUACCUGAAGAAUAAGCACCGGCUAACUACGUGCCAGCAGCCGCGGUAAUACGUAUGGUGCAAGCGUUAAUCGGAAUUACUGGGCGUAAAGCGUGCGCAGGCGGUUUUGUAAGACAGAGGUGAAAUCCCCGGGCUCAACCUGGGAACUGCCUUUGUGACUGCAAGGCUUGAGUGCGGCAGAGGGGGAUGGAAUUCCGCGUGUAGCAGUGAAAUGCGUAGAUAUGCGGAGGAACACCGAUGGCGAAGGCAAUCCCCUGGGCCUGCACUGACGCUCAUGCACGAAAGCGUGGGGAGCAAACAGGAUUAGAUACCCUGGUAGUCCACGCCCUAAACGAUGUCAACUGGUUGUUGGGAGGGUUCCUUCUCAGUAACGUAGCUAACGCGUGAAGUUGACCGCCUGGGGAGUACGGCCGCAAGGUUGAAACUCAAAUGAAUUGACGGGGUCAUAGCUGUUUCC
rnacentral:rRNA from 1 species